UCACAUCACAAUAUCCUUGUUAUAGGAUGCUGGAAUUCUGACAAUAAUUAAUUCCUUGCCAAUUAACAAAUAAGGAAGAUGACAAGAUCUGCCUCAAGCAUUAUUCUGGAUGUAUAUAAAGGAGAUGGUAAAUGCUUUACUCCUUAAAGAGCAUCAACAAUCUGUCAAGCUUAGUAGCUUUACACACAUCUUGUUUCAUUAUGAAGAUUGCCGUUAUUUUCCUACUUCUGGGCAUCUCCAGCUUUAUUGAGACAAUUACAUGUGGUGUGCAA